GACAGAGGCCCCGAGCGUUAGGCGGAAUCACUGGGCUUAAAGCGUGUGUAGGCGGGCCCGUAAGUGUCUUGUGAAAUCCCACGGCUCAACCGUGGAACUGCUGGGCAUACUGCGGGUCUUGGGCCAACUAGGGGCAGCCGGAACAAGCGGUGGAGCGGUGAAAUGCGUAGAUAUCGCUUGGAACGCCAAUGGUGAAAACAGGUAGCUGGAGUGUGCUGACGCUGAGACACGAAAGCCAGGGAGCGAACGGG
rnacentral:rRNA from 1 species